GGUUAAGCGAAUAAGCGUACACGGUGGAUGCCUAGGCAAUCAGAGGCGAUGAAGGACGUGCUAAUCUGCGAUAAGCGUCGGUAAGGUGAUAUGAACCGUUAUACCCGACGAUUUCCGAAUGGGGAAACCCAAUAUCCAAUGGAUAUUAUCAUUAACUGAAUACAUAGGUUAAUGAAGCGAACCGGGAGAACUGAAACAUCUCAGUACCCCGAGGAAAAGAAAUCAACCGAGAUUCCCCUAGUAGCGGCGAGCGAACGGGGAACAGCCCAGAGUCUUAAUCAAUAGCAGCAUCAGGAGAACGGUCUGGAAAGUCCGGCAGUAAAGGGUGAUAGCCCCGUAUCCGAAGAUGCUGUUGUUGUGAACUCGACGAGUAGGGCGGGACACGUGUUAUCCUGUCUGAAUAUGGGGGGACCAUCCUCCAAGGCUAAAUACUCCUGAUUGACCGAUAGUGAACCAGUACCGUGAGGGAAAGGCGAAAAGAACCCCGGCGAGGGGAGUGAAAAAGAACCUGAAACCGUGUACGUACAAGCAGUAGGAGCCCCAUCACUCAAGUGCCUCGCACUGAGUGAUUGGACAAACCACUCGAAAACAGCGCAGCGUUUACCUACAAAGUGGAUUGAUUUUUUCAAGCCGUCGCGCAGUGUACAUAGAAGUACACGAGCAACGGAAGUUAAAAAAUCGAGCCAGUUUGACAGUAAAAGCAAGCGGGACAUUUGAGGAUGGGGUGACUGCGUACCUUUUGUAUAAUGGGUCAGCGACUUAUAUUCUGUAGCAAGGUUAACCGUAUAGGGGAGCCGUAGGGAAACCGAGUCUUAACUGGGCGAAUGAGUUGCAGGGUAUAGACCCGAAACCCGGUGAUCUAUCCAUGGGCAGGUUGAAGGUUGGGUAACACUAACUGGAGGACCGAACCGACUAAUGUUGAAAAAUUAGCGGAUGACUUGUGGAUGGGGGUGAAAGGCCAAUCAAACUGGGAGAUAGCUGGUUCUCCCCGAAAGCUAUUUAGGUAGCGCCUCGUGAAUUCAUCUUCGGGGGUAGAGCACUGUUUCGACUAGGGGGUCAUCCCGACUUACCAACUCGAUGCAAACUGCGAAUACCGAAGAAUGUUAUCACGGGAGACACACGGCGGGUGCUAACGUCCGUCGUGAAGAGGGAAACAACCCAGACCGCCAGCUAAGGUCCCAAAGUCAUGGUUAAGUGGGAAACGAAGUGGGAAGGCUCAGACAGCCAGGAUGUUGGCUUAGAAGCAGCCAUCAUUUAAAGAAAGCGUAAUAGCUCACUGGUCGAGUCGGCCCGCGCGGAAGAUGUAACGGGGCUAAACCAUGCACCGAAGCUGCGGCAGCGACACUAAGUGUUGUUGGGUAGGGGAGCGUUCUGUAAGCCUGCGAAGGUGUACUGUGAGGUAUGCUGGAGGUAUCAGAAGUGCGAAUGCUGACAUAAGUAACGAUAAUGCGGGUGAAAAACCCGCACGCCGGAAGACCAAGGGUUCCUGUCCAACGUUAAUCGGGGCAGGGUGAGUCGACCCCUAAGGCGAGGCUGAAAAGCGUAGUCGAUGGGAAACGGGUUAAUAUUCCCGUACUGGUGGUAACUGCGAUGGGGGAACGGAGAAGGCUAGGUUGUCCGGGCGACGGUCGUCCCGGUUCAAGCAUGUAGGCAGAGUGAUUAGGCAAAUCCGGUCACUUAAUGCUGAGGUGUGAUGACGAACCACUAAGGUGGUGAAGCAAUUGAUGCCCUGCUUCCAGGAAAAGCCUCUAAGCUUCAGGUUACCAACAAUCGUACCCCAAACCGACACAGGUGGUCAGGUAGAGAAUACUCAGGCGCUUGAGAGAACUCGGGUGAAGGAACUAGGCAAAAUGGUGCCGUAACUUCGGGAGAAGGCACGCUGGCGGUAAGUGAAGUCCCUCGCGGACGGAGCCGAAGCCAGUCGAAGAUACCAGCUGGCUGCAACUGUUUAUUAAAAACACAGCACUGUGCAAACACGAAAGUGGACGUAUACGGUGUGACGCCUGCCCGGUGCUGGAAGGUUAAUUGAUGGGGUUAUCCUUAGGGAGAAGCUCUUGAUCGAAGCCCCAGUAAACGGCGGCCGUAACUAUAACGGUCCUAAGGUAGCGAAAUUCCUUGUCGGGUAAGUUCCGACCUGCACGAAUGGCGUAAUGAUGGCCAGGCUGUCUCCACCCGAGACUCAGUGAAAUUGAACUCGCUGUGAAGAUGCAGUGUACCCGCGGCAAGACGGAAAGACCCCGUGAACCUUUACUAUAGCUUGACACUGAACAUUGAGCCUUGAUGUGUAGGAUAGGUGGGAGACUAUGAAGUGUGGACGCCAGUCUGCAUGGAGUCAACCUUGAAAUACCACCCUUUAACGUUUGAUGUUCUAACCUAGGCCCAUAAUCUGGGUCGGGGACCGUGUCUGGUGGGUAGUUUGACUGGGGCGGUCUCCUCCUAAAGAGUAACGGAGGAGCACGAAGGUUGGCUAAGCAUGGUCGGACAUCAUGCGGUUAGUGCAAAGGCAUAAGCCAGCUUGACUGUGAGAGUGACGGCUCGAGCAGGUACGAAAGUAGGUCUUAGUGAUCCGGUGGUUCUGAAUGGAAGGGCCAUCGCUCAACGGAUAAAAGGUACUCCGGGGAUAACAGGCUGAUACCGCCCAAGAGUUCAUAUCGACGGCGGUGUUUGGCACCUCGAUGUCGGCUCAUCACAUCCUGGGGCUGAAGUAGGUCCCAAGGGUAUGGCUGUUCGCCAUUUAAAGUGGUACGCGAGCUGGGUUUAGAACGUCGUGAGACAGUUCGGUCCCUAUCUGCCGUGGGCGUUGGAAGAUUGAGAGGGGUUGCUCCUAGUACGAGAGGACCGGAGUGAACGCACCACUGGUGUUCGGGUUGUCAUGCCAAUGGCAUUGCCCGGUAGCUAAGUGCGGAAGAGAUAACCGCUGAAAGCAUCUAAGCGGGAAACUUGCCUCGAGAUGAGUCUUCCCUGUCACCUAGAGUGACCUAAAGGAACGUUUAAGACUAAGACGUUGAUAGGCUGGGUGUGUAAGCGUAGCGAUACGUUGAGCUAACCAGUACUAAUGAACCGUGAGGCUUAACCUG
rnacentral:rRNA from 1 species